GAUGUCGGCUCAUCGCAUCCUGGGGCUGAAGUAGGUCCCAAGGGUUGGGCUGUUCGCCCAUUAAAGCGGUACGCGAGCUGGGUUCAGAACGUCGUGAGACAGUUCGGUCCCUAUCUGUCGCGGGCGCAGGAAGUUUGAGGAGAGCUGUCCUUAGUACGAGAGGACCGGGAUGGACGCACCUCUGGUGCACCAGUUGUCACGCCAGUGGCAUAGCUGGGUAGCUAUGUGCGGACGGGAUAAGCGCUGAAAGCAUCUAAGCGUGAAGCCCCCUCCAAGAUGAGACUUCCCACAGCGUUAAGCUGGUAAGACCCCUCAUAGACGAUGAGGUUGAUAGGUUCGGUGUGGAAGCGCGGCAACGCGUGGAGCUGACGAAUACUAAUCGGUCGAGGACUUAUCCAC
rnacentral:rRNA from 1 species